AUGUGGUUUAAUUCGAUGCAACGCGAAGAACCUUACCUGGGCUAGAAAACACGUGAAUCUGGCGGAAACGUCGGGGUGCCUUCGGGGAACGCGUGGUUAGGUGCUGCAUGGUUGUCGUCAGCUCGUGUCGUGAGAUGUUGGGUUAAGUCCCGCAACGAGCGCAACCCCUAUUGUUAGUUGCCAUCAUUCAGUUGGGCACUCUAGCGAGACUGCCGGUAAUAAACCGGAGGAAGGUGGGGAUGACGUCAAAUCAUCAUGCCCCUUAUGACCUGGGCUACACACGUGCUACAAUGGUUGGUACAACGAGUUGCGAGUCGGUGACGGCGAGCUAAUCUCUUAAAGCCAAUCUCAGUUCGGAUUGUAGGCUGCAACUCGCCUACAUGAAGUCGGAAUCGCUAGUAAUCGCGGAUCAGCACGCCGCGGUGAAUACGUUCCCGGGCCUU
rnacentral:rRNA from 1 species